rnacentral:rRNA from 1 species
AACGAACGCUGGCGGCAUGCCUAAUACAUGCAAGUCGAACGAGAUCUUCGGAUCUAGUGGCGCACGGGUGCGUAACGCGUGGGAAUCUGCCCUUGGGUUCGGAAUAACUUCUGGAAACGGAAGCUAAUACCGGAUGAUGACGUAAGUCCAAAGAUUUAUCGCCCAAGGAUGAGCCCGCGUAGGAUUAGCUAGUUGGUGGGGUAAAGGCCCACCAAGGCGACGAUCCUUAGCUGGUCUGAGAGGAUGAUCAGCCACACUGGGACUGAGACACGGCCCAGACUCCGACGGGAGGCAGCAGUAGGGAAUAUUGGACGAUGGGCGAAAGCCUGAUCAAGCAAUGCCGGGUGAGUGAUGAAGGCCUUAGGGUUGUAAAGCUGUUUUACACGGGAUGAUAAUGACAGUAACGGGAGAAGAAGCUCCGGCUAACUCCGUG